rnacentral:misc_RNA from 1 species
ACACAAAAACAAUCCCAUAUCCACCCCUUUUUAUAACGAACUCUGGUUUUAAACUACCAUUGUCUCUUCUUUAUCCAACUUUAUUUUUACCCCAACUUCUUAUAACCAAAAUGCAAUAGACUGAUAUUUAUUUAUCUUUAUAAUCUUUAUAAAUGAUAUUUAAAA